UGUGGGAGCUGGCUUGCCUGCGAUGCAGACACCUCGGUACAUCAAGCCGUUUGAGGUGAUGCUAUCGCAGGCAAGCCAGCUCCCACG
rnacentral:antisense_RNA from 1 species